rnacentral:rRNA from 1 species
GACGAACGCUGGCGGCGUGCUUAACACAUGCAAGUCGAGCGGUAAGGCCUCUUCGGGGGUACACGAGCGGCGCACGGGUGAGUAACACGUGGGUGACCUGCCCUCAGCUCUGGGAUAAGCCUGGGAAACUGGGUCUAAUACCGGAUAUGACCUUUCCUCGCAUGGGGUUUGGUGGAAAGUUUUUUCGGCUGGGGAUGGGCCCGCGGCCUAUCAGCUUGUUGGUGGGGUGAUGGCCUACCAAGGCGACGACGGGUAGCCGGCCUGGGUAGGCGACCGGCCAACCCGGGAGCGAGGCACCGGCCGGGACUCUUCGGGAAGGAGCCGGGGGGGAUAGUUGCCAAGGGGCGGGAGUCCGGAGGAGCCUCGGCGCGUGGGGGAUUGAGGGCCUGGGGGUGGAAAUCUUUUUCGAACCCCGCGAAUUUUGACGGUAGGGGUAGAAGAAGCACCGGCCAACUACGUG